GGAGGGUAUGGGGUGUCCCGGGGAUGCGGGUAGCAGCCACUCAAUGCUUUGGAAUCGUUCCCACACGUGCAGCCCUGGGGGACCGGGAGGGUUUGGGUCGGCUCCAUCCGCUCUGUGCUCCCCCAGGGGCUGCAGGGCUGAUCCCCUCUAAUCCCACACUGGCUCAGUGCCCGGGCUCAGCGCCUUCCCACCACCCCAUCCCCUCGGAUUAUUGGUGCCCGUUGCCUUCAUAAGGGGCAGAAAGGAGCCUGGGCUCAUCCUGGGGCUGCGGUCACCGCCUGAGCUCCGUGGGGACGAUGAAGCCGUACGCAGUGCUGCUGCUGGCGGGGCUGGCCUGCUGCCUGGCUGCGGGCUGUGAGUAGGGCAGGACCCCCAUGGGGCUGGAUGUCCCUUAAGGGGUGUCUGUCCCACCAGUGGGGUGGGCCGUCCCCAUGCUGGGGUCGGUGACUCUGUGUCCCUUCCAUUCGCAGUGCCCGUCAAUGAGACGCCGGCCGUGGGGCAAGAAUAGCUGGCGUGGUGAGCGCCGAACUGCCCUGCUGGGGACGUGGGGACAUCAUGGGGACGUGGGGACAUCAUGGGGACACCAUGGGGACGUGGUGCUCCAUCCGUGGGCUCUGCUCCACCCCCAGGUGCCUCCAAUGCCACCAGCUCGCCCUGCAGCUCUUCCUACGUGAGCACUGCUCCGAACAAAGCUUCCAAUAAAGCAGACUGCUAAUUGC
ensembl:lncRNA